AUCAACCGAGAUUCCCCCAGUAGCGGCGAGCGAACGGGGAGCAGCCCAGAGCCUGAAUCAGUGUGUGUGUUAGUGGAAGCGUCUGGAAAGGCGCGCGAUACAGGGUGACAGCCCCGUACACAAAAAUACACAUAUUGUGAGCUCGAUGAGUAGGGCGGGACACGUGGUAUCCUGUCUGAAUAUGGGGGGACCAUCCUCCAAGGCUAAAUACUCCUGACUGACCGAUAGUGAACCAGUACCGUGAGGGAAAGGCGAAAAGAAC
rnacentral:rRNA from 1 species